rnacentral:rRNA from 1 species
UAAGGCCCCUUCGGGGGUACACGAGCGGCGAACGGGUGAGUAACACGUGAGCAACCUACCCUCAACUUCGGGAUAAGCCUCGGAAACGGGGUCUAAUACCGGAUAUCAUCACGGACUUCAUGGUUUGUGGUUGAAAGUUCUGGCGGUUGGGGAUGGGCUCGCGGCCUAUCAGCUUGUUGGUGGGGUAAUGGCCUACCAAGGCGUCGACGGGUAGCCGGCCUGAGAGGGCGACCGGCCACACUGGGACUGAGACACGGCCCAGACUCCUACGGGAGGCAGCAGUGGGGAAUAUUGCGCAAUGGACGAAAGUCUGACGCAGCAACGCCGCGUGAGGGAUGACGGCCUUCGGGUUGUAAACCUCUUUCAGCAGGGACGAAGCGAGAGUGACGGUACCUGCAGAAGAAGGACCGGCCAACUACGUGCCAGCAGCCGCGGUAAUACGUAGGGUCCGAGCGUUGUCCGGAAUUAUUGGGCGUAAAGGGCUCGUAGGCGGUUCGUCACGUCGGGAGUGAAAACUCGGAGCUUAACUCCGAGCCUGCUUCCGAUACGGGCAGACUAGAGGUAGGCAGGGGAGAGCGGAACUCCUGGUGUAGCGGUGGAAUGCGCAGAUAUCAGGAAGAACACCGGUGGCGAAGGCGGCUCUCUGGGCCUUACCUGACGCUGAGGAGCGAAAGCGUGGGUAGCGAACAGGAUUAGAUACCCUGGUAGUCCACGCCGUAAACGUUGG